UGGGGAAUAUUGGACAAUGGGCGCAAGCCUGAUCCAGCCAUGCCGCGUGUGUGAAGAAGGCCCUAGGGUUGUAAAGCACUUUCAGCGGGGAGGAAGGGAUGCAUGUUAAUAGUAUGCAUUUUUGACGUUACCCGCAGAAGAAGCACCGGCUAACUCCGUGCCAGCAGCCGCGGUAAUACGGAGGGUGCAAGCGUUAAUCGGAAUUACUGGGCGUAAAGCGCACGUAGGCGGUUAUAUAAGUCAGAUGUGAAAGCCCCGGGCUCAACCUGGGAAUUGCAUUUGAAACUGUGUAACUAGAAUACGGGAGAGGGGGGUAGAAUUCCAAGUGUAGCGGUGAAAUGCGUAGAGAUUUGGAGGAAUACCAGUGGCGAAGGCGGCCCCCUGGCCCGAUAUUGACGCU
rnacentral:rRNA from 1 species